rnacentral:lncRNA from 1 species
CAGGUUAGAACAAGGCUCAGUGAAGAGCAGCCAGUGGUUAAGCAGUAUGGACAUCAUUACUGUAAAUGAUAUAAAUCACAUCACACUUAUUACAUAAAGACGCAUGAUUGUUAGCCUAACAAAUUCAGUCUAGUUGCACUCCUUUUCGCUGCAGCAACUUUAAGCUGGCACAUUGUGUUGUUUCUGCUCAUUCCCUUUACCUAGUUCAUACCCACUCGUCUUUAUUAACAAGACCUCUGCUCAUCUAUUGUCUUCUCAGGAGGCCUUCCUUGGUGUCACAGAACAAGCAGGUUUCCCGGUGAAACUCUCUUAGGCCCUUAGGUAACUUGUCCUCAAAGCACUGACAUUCAAUUUUAAUUUCCUGUGAGUUUGCAUAAUUAUUAGUUCUGUUGAGUGAGUGAUUAUCAGAACUCCACCACUGUAAUAUAAUCUGUAAACAAAUAUCGUGUCAUGUUCAGUUUUGUUCACUCUCCCAUCUCUGGAACUCAGCACAAUAUCUGCACAGAGCAGGUGUUCUUUAAUUAUUUGUUAGAUGAAUGAGCAAACACCUGAAUAAAUGAAUGAAUGAAUCUUCAUUUAGUGAAGAAACUGAGGUAGAAAUAUGUCAUACCCAGAUUUAUUGGUAAAGAUCGGAAUAUAUUUUAGAAUAUUGGAUUUCUGCAGCUACUACUGCCCAUCACCUUUCAAAUGACUCUGCAGAAAGAGAUGCCUUCAAAUCAGGUGACACUUGAAUAGGUGACCAUCACUCCAGAACAAAUGUUGAUAACACAAAUGCUGAGAUCCUAUGCCACAAGAGGCUAGUCACUAACUUCUCUGAGCCUCAAUGCAGUAUCCUCAUUUAUAAUGCACCCCUCCCCCACCGCACUGGCACUGAGAAUCGAAAAUAAGAGAAUUCAUUUGACAACACCCUAUUGACUCUAUGCAUGUAUGUUUUGCUUAAAGUUAAGAAGUUUGAAAAUUGCCUCUCAAUGGGAUCUUUGAAAAGACUCUGCUUUGUGAAGAAGAAGGCAUUUCGAGGAUAUUAGACAAAGACUCACCAUUUAGUUAAACAAGCAUUAUUUCCAGGCAAUGGCAGAGAAAUUAGAUCUCCCACAGUUUCCAUCAGUCUCAGUCCUAAGACCUUUAAACAAUCAUACAAUUUAACUAAAAAAUUGGCUACUCUCCUUCUGUUGGGAUGACUAUUUCCAAAGCCCAACCUGAGUAGAAAUUUAGAAGCCCUCAUUAUUCAAAGGUAAUGUGAUAUUUGUCAAAAGAGAAACUUCUGAGUUGAUUUCCACAAUGCUUUCAAAGCAGAUUAGCAUCUGUUGGGAGGGACUGGCCCAAAGUGAGCAUUGCUUGAUGCAGUAAUUGACAGCUAAUUUUAAACCUUGAAGUAGUAUUUUCUCACUGGAACCAAGGAAAGUGCUUUCAAGAAGGAUGAAAAUCUACUGCAUGUCAGACUCAAAAAUAUUUUCUGAACUAAGUAAAAACUGAGAUCCUACUUUGCAAAUACAUUGCUAGAAAAUUCA